AUGUUCCCAGCAAUGCGCGCCGUCCUCAGCGCGGCGAGGAGCGGAGCGGCCAGAAGGGCGGGAAGCUCGUCUCGCUUCCUCUCUGGAUCCUCCGACUCCCGGAGGCUGGCCGGGAAGGUGGCCGUCAUCACCGGCGCGGCGAGCGGCAUCGGCAAGGCGACCGCAGCGGAGUUCGUCCGGAACGGCGCCAGGGUCGUCCUCGCCGACGUCCAGGACGAGCUGGGCCGCGCCGCGGCGGCCGAUCUCGGCGGAACGGACACGGCAUGCUACACCCGCUGCGACGUGACCGACGAGGCGCAGGUGGCCGCCGCCGUGGACCUCGCCGUCGCGCGGCACGGCCGGCUCGACGUCAUGUUCAACAACGCCGGGAUCACGGGCGGCAGCUACGCGGCCGCCCCGAUCGAGUCGCUGGACAUGGCCGACUUCGACCGCGUCAUGGCCGUCAACCUCCGCGGCGUGGCCGCCGGCAUCAAGCACGCGGCGCGCGCCAUGGCGCCGCGCGGCCAGGGGUGCAUCCUCUGCACCUCCAGCACGGCCGGCGCGCUGGCCGGGUCGGCCCCCCACGCCUACAGCGUCUCCAAGACGGCCGUCGUCGGCAUGGUGCGGUCGGCGGCCGCGGAGCUGGCGGCGCGCGGCGUCAGGGUCAACGCCAUCUCGCCGUACGCCAUCGCCACGUCCAUGGGCGCGCGCGCCGUCAGGGAGAUGCUGGGGCUUCCGCCGCGGGGUGCCGGCGACGAGGAGGAGGAGGAGCUGGUCAGGCGGGUCUUCGAGGAGGACUUCAACGAGAUGGGCGGCGGCGUGGUGCUGCGCGCGGAGGACGUCGCGAGGGCGGCGGUGUUCCUGGCGUCCGACGAUGCCAGGUACAUCACCGGGCAUAAUCUUAUGGUGGACGGCGGGUUCUCCGUGGCGAAGCCGCUCAACGUGCCGGCGAACUGA
rnacentral:rRNA from 1 species